AGAGCGAACGCUGGCGGCAGGCCUAAUACAUGCAAGUCGAACGGAUCCUUCGGGAUUAGUGGCGGACGGGUGAGUAACACGUGGGAACGUGCCCUUUGGUUCGGAACAACUCAGGGAAACUUGAGCUAAUACCGGAUGUGCCCUUCGGGGGAAAGAUUUAUCGCCAUUGGAGCGGCCCGCGUCUGAUUAGCUAGUUGGUGGGGUAAAGGCCCACCAAGGCGACGAUCAGUAGCUGGUCUGAGAGGAUGAUCAGCCACACUGGGACUGAGACACGGCCCAGACUCCUACGGGAGGCAGCAGUAGGGAAUCUUGCGCAAUGGGCGAAAGCCUGACGCAGCCAUGCCGCGUGAAUGAUGAAGGUCUUAGGAUUGUAAAAUUCUUUCAGCGGGGACGAUAAUGACGGUACCCGCAGAAGAACGCCCCGGCUAACUUCGCGCCAGCAGCCGC
rnacentral:rRNA from 1 species